rnacentral:rRNA from 1 species
GGUGAACGCUGGCGGCGUGCCUAAUACAUGCAAGUCGAGCGAACGGACGAGAAGCUUGCUUUUCUGAUGUUAGCGGCGGACGGGUGAGUAACACGUGGAUAACCUACCUAUAAGACUGGGAUAACUUCGGGAAACCGGAGCUAAUACCGGAUAAUAUUUUGAACCGCAUGGUUCAAAAGUGAAAGACGGUCUUGCUGUCACUUAUAGAUGGAUCCGCGCUGCAUUAGCUAGUUGGUAAGGUAACGGCUUACCAAGGCAACGAGGCAUAGCCGACCUGAGAGGGUGAUCGGCCACACUGGAACUGAGACACGGUCCAGACUCCUACGGGAGGCAGCAGUAGGGAAUCUUCCGCAAUGGGCGAAAGCCUGACGGAGCAACGCCGCGUGAGUGAUGAAGGUCUUCGGAUCGUAAAACUCUGUUAUUAGGGAAGAACAUAUGUGUAAGUAACUGUGCACAUCUUGACGGUACCUAAUCAGAAAGCCACGGCUAACUACGUG